UACGGAGGGUGCAAGCGUUAUCCGGAUUUACUGGGCGUAAAGGGCUCGUAGGCGGCCAACUAAGUCCGACGUGAAAUCCCCAGGCUUAACCUGGGAACUGCGUCGGAUACUGGAUGGCUUGAAUCCGGGAGAGGGAUGCGGAAUUCCAGGUGUAGCGGUGAAAUGCGUAGAUAUCUGGAGGAACACCGGUGGCGAAGGCGGCAUCCUGGACCGGCAUUGACGCUGAGGAGCGAAAGCCAGGGGAGCAAACGGG
rnacentral:rRNA from 1 species